AUGGUAUCGGAAAAGAAAACUAAGCUAUUACAAGGCGUCGGGUAUUUACAUCGCCAAAAACAAACCCUUGAAAAAGUAAAUUGCGGGAAAUUAAAUAAAAGCGGUAAAAAAGGCCCUAAGUUAAAGCUAUCACAUCCUCGGAGCAGAUACACUUAUAUGGAUAAAAAUACGAAUCAAAUAAAUCAUACGCGAGAAAAAUUGAAUCGGAGUGUUUUUAGGGUUUUGACCCUUUUUAUUAAAGAAAGAGGUUUUUUUUGUUAUCUUGCAUUUAAUUAA